GCAAGUCGAACGAAAGUUUUAUACUUUAGUGGCGAACGGGUGCGUAAUACGUGAGAAUCUGCCCUUAGGAGGGGAAUAACUUCUGGAAACGGUUGCUAAGUCCCCAUAUGCCGAGAGGUGAAAUAGUUAACACUGCCUAGGGAUGAGCUCACGCCUGAUUAGCUUGUUGGUAGGGUAAUGGCCUACCAAGGCCACGAUCAGUAGCUGGUUUGAGAGAACGAUCAGCCACACUGGGACUGAGACACGGCCCAGACUCCUCCGGGAGGCAGCAGUGAGGAAUUUUCCGCAAUGGGCGAAAGCCUGACGGAGCAAUACCGCGUGAGGGAUGAAGGAUUUUGGUCUGUAAACCUCUUUUCUCAAGAAAGAAGUUCUGACGGUACUUGAGGAAUAAGCAUCGGCUAACUCCGUGCCAGCAGCCGCGGUAAUACGGGGGAUGCAAGCGUUAUCCGGAAUCAUUGGGCGUAAAGCGCCUGUAGGUUGUUUAAUAAGUCUGUUGUUAAAGACUAGGGCUUAACCCUAGGAAAGCAAUGGAAAUUACUAGACUAGAGUAUGAUAGGGGUAGAGGGAAUUUCUAGUGUAGCGGUGAAAUGCGUAGAUAUUAGGAAGAACACCGGUGGCGAAGGCGCUCUACUGGAUCAUUACUGACACUCAGAGGCGAAAGCUAGGGUAGCAAAAGGGAUUAGAUACCCCUGUAGUCCUAGCCGUAAACGAUGGAUACUAGAUGUUGUGUUUUUUAUGCAGUAUCGUAGCUAACGCGUUAAGUAUCCCGCCUGGGGAGUACGCUCGCAAGGGUGAAACUCAAAGGAAUUGACGGGGCCCGCACAAGCGUGAGCAUGUGUUUAAUUCGAUGCACGCGAGACUUACAGCUGACAUACUACAAUUCUUGAAGAGAAGUGCUCGGGAUGUAGAUACAGUGGUGCAUGCCUGUCGUCAGCUCGUGUCGUGAACGUGGGUUAGUCACGCACGAGCGCAAUCUGUUUAGUUGCAAUUCAAUCCGCUUUCUAGAGACAUGCCGUGAA
rnacentral:rRNA from 1 species